rnacentral:misc_RNA from 1 species
GAUGAAGAACGCAGCGAAAUGCGAUAAGUAAUGUGAAUUGCAGAAUUCAGUGAAUCAUCGAAUCUUUGAACGCACAUUGCGCCCGCCAGUAUUCUGGCGGGCAUGCCUGUCCGAGCGUCAUUUCAACCCUCGAACCCCUCCGGGGGGUCGGCGUUGGGGACCUCGGGAGCCCCUAAGACGGGAUCCCGGCCCCGAAAUACAGUGGCGGUCUCGCCGCAGCCUCUCCUGCGCAGUAGUUUACACAACUCGCACCGGGAGCGCGGCGCGUCCACGUCCGUAAAACACCCAACUUCUGAAAUGUUGACCUCGGAUCAGGUAGGAAUACCCGCUGAACUUAAGCAUAUCAAUAAGCGGAGGA